CUCUCUAAAAAAACCCCUAGCGAUACUGCGAUAGAGAGAAAGGGAAGGUGGGAAAAAAAACCUAGCCAUCUCCUCACACCAAACUCUGCAAGGAGAAAAAAAAAAAAAAAAAAAACUUGCGCCACAGUGGAGAUUCGUUCGGCCGGCCAUCGCCAUCCCUUUUUGAGUUUUUCAGGAAUUCAAAGUUAAAUACGAUCAAACGUCCCAGGAAUAUUGAGAUACGGGGAUAGAGAUAGUCACUACUCUGACAAAAGGUACAACAUGGGUAUUUUGCAAGAAGAGUUGCUGCAUCAAACUAAGAGGGGCUUGCAUUUGGUACCUCCACAAUAUUCACGUAUUGGACGGACUUGAUAUAAAACCCGUUUCACACCAAGGUUUACAUGCUCAGGGUGAGGAACAAGCACUAUGGUAAGGUUAAGUUUUUUGAUAUAAGUUUUGAUGAUUACUCUCCGGAGGAGGAUCAAGGCCUAGACUACAAAACUGUAUGGUCUAAAUAGUGCUGAAAUUUUCAGUAGACACAAUUUGCUGGUUUACGAGAGUUUGGCUAGAGCUGUAAGAUAAGGAGAAAUUGAAUUAUGUGUGACAGUAACACUUCCUGUUAGUCACUUCAAUAUGACUUCAGAGACUAAUAUGUUACUGUCACAAUUUGCUGGUUUAAGAGGGUUUGGUAGGAGCUGUAAGAAAAGAAAUUGAAAAUGAAGUAUAUGUGACAGUAACACUACCUGUUGGUCAUAUCCAAUAUGACCUCACUGACUAAUAUUUACUUUUUUUUGGUGGCUUUUGGGGAUCAUUAGAAUUUUUCUGAAAAAUCCAGCAUGAAACCAUGUAGCUCUAUAGUUUGGCCAUAGGAAAGUAAUAAUAACUUUGUAGAAUACAUAGUAGAGCAUAUUAACUUUGUGGCAUGUGUAUAUAGAGUUUAGAGCAUCUCUUUUGUCAGAUUUAUUACAAUACAGUGAUGCAGUGGUGUUGGU